rnacentral:rRNA from 1 species
AUCAACGCUGGCGGCGUGCCUCAGACAUGCAAGUCGUACGAUUAAAGCUCUCUUCGGAGAGUGUAUAGAGUGGCGCACGGGUGAGUAACACGUAAGUAAUCUACCUUCGAGUGGGGAAUAACAGUCGGAAACGACUGCUAAUACCGCAUAAUGCAGCGGCACCUAAUGGUGACAGUUGUUAAAGCAUUUAUGUGCUUGAAGAGGAGCUUGCGGCAGAUUAGCUAGUUGGUAAGGUAAUGGCUUACCAAGGCAACGAUCUGUAGCCGACCUGAGAGGGUGGUCGGUCACACUGACACUGAAUAACGGGUCAGACUCCUACGGGAGGCAGCAGUCGGGAAUUUUGGGCAAUGGGCGAAAGCCUGACCCAGCAACGCCGCGUGAAGGAUGAAGUAUUUCGGUAUGUAAACUUCGUAAGAAUGGGAAGAAUAAAUGACGGUACCAUUUGUAAGGUCCGGCUAACUACGUGCCAGC